UAGUGUCAAUGUGUUCAGUCUUAUGAGUAUGUAUGUUUAAUACAUUUACAGUUUAGCGCAAAGCUAGCAAGGGUCCAGAGCACAGUAGUGAAGUCCCAGCAGGCUCAAGGCUCCAGCCUUGCAUCUCAGAACAUCUUCAAGAGGAAGCUGCAGUUCAUGCAGGAAGAAAAGAAUCGUGAAAUUGAGGCCUUGCGCCAGAAAGUCAAAGAGCUGGAGCAGCAACAGUUCCUUGGCUUUACCGAGUCACGUCUUAAAAGAAGGAAGAUAUAAUUGGCAUAACCCUGCCAAAACCAGCCAGUGGUGCUUAAUUAUAGCCCUUCACUGCAUAAUGCUUUGAGGCAAAGUUUCAGAUUGCAAAAUGUUAUUAUAUAAGAUAAUAGAAAGACACAACGGAUAGCUACUCAACAGGUUAUGAUAUUGUUUAUGUUAAUUAUGCUUUUUGCUUGUACUGGUUAAUGGCAAGAUUAUGCUGAAUCUUUCAUAGAUGUCAAGUUGAUGU
rnacentral:lncRNA from 1 species